UACGACGGGGGCUAGCGUUGUUCGGAUUUACUGGGCGUAAAGCGCACGUAGGCGGAUAUUUAAGUCAGGGGUGAAAUCCCGGGGCUCAACCCCGGAACUGCCUUUGAUACUGGGUAUCUUUGAGUCCGGAAGAGGUGAGUGGAAUUCCGAGUGUAGAGGUGAAAUUCGUAGAUAUUCGGAGGAACACCAGUGGCGAAGGCGGCUCACUGGUCCGGUACUGACGCUGAGGUGCGAAAGCGUGGGGAGCAAACAGG
rnacentral:rRNA from 1 species